rnacentral:rRNA from 1 species
GAUGAAUGCUAGCGGUGUGCUUGAGAUAUGCAAGUCGAGCGACCCUAUUUGCCGCAAGGUGAGUAGGGAGCGGCGGACGGCUGAGUAAUACAUAGGUACUUGCCCCUAGGCGGAGCAUAGCCCCGAGAAAUCGGGGGUAAUUCUCCAUAGUUUCCCGAUUAUAUCGGGAAUAAAGAGCUUAACCGCUCACCAAGGGAUAGGCCUAUGUCCUAUCAGGUAGUUGGUAAGGUAACGGCUUACCAAGCCUAUGACGGGUAGCUGAUCUGAGAGGAUGAUCAGCCAGAGGAGUACUGAGACACGGACCCCACUCCUACGGGAGGCAGCAAUCAGGAAUAGUCGGCAAUGGACGAAAGUCUGACCGCGCGACACCGCGUGUAGGAAUAAGCUCUUCGGAGUGUAAACUACUGUGGUAGGGGAAGAAGAUCGCCGCAAGGCGAUUUGACGGUACCCUACUAGAAAGGAGCCGCUAACUGCGUGCCAGAAGCGUCGGUAAUACGUGGGCUUCAAGCAUUGUCCGGUCUUAUUGGGCGUAAAGUGUCGUGUAGGCGGUUUAGUAAGUUAUUUCUUAAAUUCCGGUGCCUAACACCGGUAUUGGAAGUAAUACUGCUUUACUAGAAUUUUCUAGAGGGAAACUGGAAYUCAAGGAGGAGUAGUGAAAUGCGUUGAUACCUUGGGGAACACCAAUGGCGAAGGCAAGUUUCUGGCAGAAAAUUGACGCUGAGACACGGAAGCUAGGGGAGCGAAGCAGAUUAGAGACCUGCCUAGUCCUAGCCCUAAACGAAUGUCUGCUACCUGCAUCUUAUUCCACCUUUGGUGGAUGUAGGUGCGGGAAAGGUAACCCGUUAAGCAGACCGCCUGGGGAGUACGACCGCAAGGUUAAAACUCAAAGGAAUUGGCGGGGAGGCACACAACCAGUGGAACAUGUGGUUCAAUUCGAUACGAAACGAAGAACCUCACCAAGGUUUGACAUGCUAGUGUUCAGUCCUGAUGAAAAUCGGGAUGUCCGCAAGGAGACUAGCACAGGUGCUGCAUGGCUGUCGUCAGCUCGUUCCGUGAGGAGU